CAAAAUUGAAGAAAAUCCCUAACCCUUUCAUUCGGCCGAUCCUCCUAAAGGCCAAUCCCUAGCCUUCCUAUCACCAACACGAACAAUGGCUGACGAAGACUGGCUUGACUCACUCCCUGGUUUAGAACCUCGUCUCAGGAGGUUUCAACUGUGAAGAAUCCAAAGGAGGAGGUUUCAAUGUCGGAUUUGAGCCUUAACGGAGAAGAAGCUCCGAUGGCACGAACAAGUUUCAGCCAGAUCCACAAAGAUCUGCCAAUCCUUAGACCAGAGGAGCCAACGUCGACUGAACCAACACCAAAACAUCCGUUGCAAGUAUGAAGUUCGUGGUACCGCUGACAUGGCGAGGCCGUUCGUGGGGGUGUACGGAGGAACAGAGGAGUACGUGCAAUGUGGCAAGGCCGCUCGUGAAGGCUGCGGCACAAGGGAACCCUAGGGUUCCAGAAGUUUCAAUUUGC